CCAGGGUUAGCACUAAUCCAGCUUUGAACAACCGGCCCCAGAUGUUUAGAGAAUUGGUAUUCCUUUAUAAAUUUCAAAAAAAUAUUUAGCUCGAGAGUCGAGUUUUUCCGCAAAGUGUUGCUUUAAUCAUAAAACAAUAUUGUUGUUGCAGAUUUUCCGUUAUUUUUAGCUUAAUGCAUAUUCCUGUCGGAAAUAACGAUACUUCAAAAUAUUAGUUCACCUUAUAAUAAUUAAUUAAUAAGUUCCUUGUAUAUUGGCAAGGUGAAAUAACUAUCAUUGUUAGCAAGCCACGCCUAUGUCUGUUGGGGAAAAAAACACAGGUUUCUAGACUAUACUCUAAAUUCCGGUCAAUUGUUCCAUAAACACAGUCAACUUCAAUCGACAAUAAGUCUUUAACGCGGACGCUUGUGAGGAAGUGUUGUUUUUGAGCUGUGCAUUGGCUGCCUUCACUCUUAUCUUGGCUUAUAAAAGCUACACAUAUAUCUACGCUAUUAAAGUUAAAGUUUGG